rnacentral:lncRNA from 1 species
UUAUUUUGAUUGCAACUCCACAGAACAAAUCUUUAAUGAACCAGCUUGUGGGGAGAGCCAUUAGCAGCCGCCUGCCUCCAGGGAGUGGGGGAGGCGCCUGGCCUGGGUCCCAGCCUGGACUUCUACUCAGCGAGGAAGCGGUGGCCAGCAGGCUCCAAAUAUUUGAAAAACAGACAGACACAUUGUCCUCAUCUCCAGACAGAGGUCACCUUGAAGAAUCUGCAGAGGAGGUCCGUGGGAGCUGGCAGACCUCAGGGGAGAGGAGCGGUAGGUCCUCUGGGGAGCCUUCUGCGUAGGUGGGGCAGCAGGGAGCAACCACAUGCCUGGUAUACAAAAGAGUCAUGGCUGCUAUGACUCUGCUCUAUUUUCCCCCAUAAGACAGGUAGGCUCUUCUUCUCUGUCCCAGCACCAAAUCUUGCCUUGGUGAAGAGGCUGAG